rnacentral:tRNA from 1 species
UAGCUCAGUGGAUAGAGUGCUUGCCUUGCAUGCAUAAGGCCCUGGGUUCAAUCCCCAG